rnacentral:rRNA from 1 species
UCUCAUCUGAUCUCAGAAGCUAGGCAGAGUAGAUCCUGGUUAGUACUUGGAU